ACGCUCGACACCUACGGGAGCAGCAGUGGGGAAUAUUGCACAAUGGGGGAAACCCUGAUGCAGCGACGCCGCGUGGAGGAAGAAGGUCUUCGGAUUGUAAACUCCUGUUGUUGGGGAAAAAGAGGAUGGUACCCAACAAGGAAGUGACGGCUAACUACGUGCCAGCACGCGUAGUCGUAUCGUGGCGUCGGGCUAGGCAGC
rnacentral:rRNA from 1 species